CUGAAACAGGGAGGUAGUGACAAUAAAUAACAAUGCCGGGCCUUUAUAGGUCUGGCAAUUGGAAUGAGAACAAUUUAAACCCCUUAUCGAGGAUCAAUUGGAGGGCAAGUCUGGUGCCAGCAGCCGCGGUAAUUCCAGCUCCAAUAGCGUAUAUUAAAGUUGUUGCAGUUAAAAAGCUCGUAGUUGGAUUUGUGGUGGUUCCUGAGGUCCAAAUUUUGGUACUAUCGGGCGCCGCCAUCCUUGGGUGGAACCUGUGUGGCAUUAGGUUGUCGUGCAGGGGAUGCCCAUCUUUUACUGUGAAAAAAUUAGAGUGUUCAAAGCAGGCUUACGCCGUUGAAUAUAUUAGCAUGGAAUAACAUUAUACGACUUUGGAUCUAUUUUGUUGGUUUGCGCUCCGAAGUAAUGAUUAACAGGGACAGUUGGGGGUAUUCGUAUUCCAUUGUCAGAGGUGAAAUUCUUGGAUUUCUGGAAGACGAACUACUGCGAAAGCAUUUACCAAGGAUGUUUUCAUUGAUCAAG
rnacentral:rRNA from 1 species